rnacentral:rRNA from 1 species
UACGAAGGGGGCUAGCGUUGUUCGGAUUUACUGGGCGUAAAGCGCACGUAGGCGGAUCGUUAAGUCGGGGGUGAAAUCCUGGAGCUCAACUCCAGAACUGCCUUCGAUACCUGGCGAUCUUGAGUCCGGAAGAGGUGAGUGGAACUCCUAGUGUAGAGGUGGAAUUCGUAGAUAUUAGGAAGAACACCAGUGGCGAAGGCGGCUCACUGGUCCGGUACUGACGCUGAGGUGACGAAAGCGUGGGGAGCAAACAGGAUUGAGA